rnacentral:misc_RNA from 1 species
UAUUAUUAUUAUUAUUAUUAUCCUACUUUAAGUUAGCUUUCUGAAAUUACAAAAACACCCACCAGAUUCUUUCAUAUUUUCACUUUGUAUCAAUGGCAAGAAGCGAAGCAAAACAAAAGGCCCGUCAUUUUCUUCCUUCAUGCCUGGACAUAGUCGGAAAUACCUAACCAGACGAUAAUGCCUCUGGAAUUACGCUGUUGUUGCUAAUGAUUGGGUAUGCCGUACAUGUGGAAAUCCCGAGGGUAUUUGUGUCCGUAUAAUAUAGAUCCUAUUAUUAUUAUUAUUAUUAU